GACGAACCGUGCAAACGUUGUUCGGAAUCACUGGGCUUAAAGGGCGCGUAGGCGGGUCAUCAAGUCUGUGGUGAAAUCCUCCAGCUUAACUGGAGAAGGGCCGUGGAUACUGGUGAUCUUGAGGGAGGUAGGGGCAUGUGGAACUUCCGGUGGAGCGGUGAAAUGCGUAGAUAUCGGAAGGAACGCCGGUGGCGAAAGCGACGUGCUGGACCUCUUCUGACGCUGAGGCGCGAAAGCGUGGGGAGCGAACAGG
rnacentral:rRNA from 1 species